GAUGAACGCUGGCGGCGUGCCUAAUACAUGCAAGUCGAGCGAACGGACGAGAAGCUUGCUUCUCUGAUGUUAGCGGCGGACGGGUGAGUAACACGUGGAUAACCUACCUAUAAGACUGGGAUAACUUCGGGAAACCGGAGCUAAUACCGGAUAAUAUUUUGAACCGCAUGGUUCAAAAGUGAAAGACGGUCUUGCUGUCACUUAUAGAUGGAUCCGCGCUGCAUUAGCUAGUUGGUAAGGUAACGGCUUACCAAGGCAACGAUGCAUAGCCGACCUGAGAGAGUGAUCCACUACACGACAACUGAGCCACCGUCCAGACUCCUACGAGAGGCAGCAGUAGGGAAUCUUCCGCAAUGGGCGAAAGCCUGACGGAGCAACGCCGCGUGAGUAAUGAAAGUCUUCGGAUCUUAAAACUCUGUAAUUAGAGAAAAACAUAUAUGUAAGUAACUGUGCACAUCUUGACCGUACCUAAUCAGAAAGCCACGGCUAACUACGUG
rnacentral:rRNA from 1 species